UUCAUGUUUUUCUCUUCUGACUCUCCUUUCUCCCAAAGGGGAGUGAACCUCUACUAUCCUUUCAUGCAAUGGCCUUUCUUACUUGAUAAUUGUUUUCUUCUUUUCCCACCUCCAUUUCAGCCUAUUUUCUCUCCUCAAUAAUAACUUUACUUGGCUUCAUGAAGGAUGGGCAGACUUCAUGUCCUUCCCAGAACAAGGAGUCCAGAAGAAAACAAGAUGUAGAGAACCAAUGACCUCCAGACUUAGUUACUACAGCAGAGCUCUGGGGUCAGAGGAACCGGGCCAUCCACAGAAACCAUUUAGCAGGUGAAACUUUUUUUUAAAGACACUUCAGAAAAUUGCUUCAUCCAUCCCAAAGUUCUGUCAAGUGUUUUAAAGGAUGUGAGGAGAAUAAAGUUUCAAAACACCUCAGUAUCAGUCAGCAAGAGAGAAGACAGAGAAUGAAUGCAUCAUCUGCUGACCAGAGGCACUAAUUACCCAGUCAGUACAGAUGAGAUCAACAAGCACUGAUGGGGCACUCACAAGAAAACAUACAGCUGUAGACAGCAGGAGUAACUGCUGGCAGAGAAGAAGACUGAAGAACAGCAAGGGAGCAACAGUUGUGCUUUAAUAAUCUCUGUUUCUACACAUGAGUAAUGACAUAAAUAGAUUUGAUUUUUAGAGAAAGAUUAUGAGCCUUUAAAAAUAUAAAAGUAAUACUUAUAAGUAAGGUUUUCAUCACUCUGUCAUGUUAAAAGUGCGUUUGUGCCUUGUACCUUGACUAUCAUAUCACACAAGAGAUAUAUGUUAUAUAUGAAAGACUAUUUUUCUUCUUGACAUAUUAUUUUUCAAAGAAAAGAUAAAACUCUGUUCCUCUGUUAUUUUCUGAAUAGACUAGAAAUCCAUGAUGUAAUUUUGUAGUUUAACUUGUAGUAACAUUGUGUACAAAUCUGUAAUCCACAAGCCUACAAACUUUUAAGCUUCCUACAUGAUGCUAGUAAAUUAAUUCAAUUAAAGGCAGCAGAACUGUUGAUUUGAUGAAAAUGGAGUGUAAAUGUAAGAAUUAAUAGAAAAAUGGGAUCUAGCUGAGAUGGAGGAAUGGACUGACAGUGCCUUAUGAAACUCAAAAAUGACAAGCCUGAAUUGCUGCACUUUGGAAGGAAGAUCCUCUUGGAGUGACACCAUCUGGGGACUGAGACCUGGAGAGCAACUCUGUGUAAAAAAGCCCGGGGGUUGAGUGGGCAGGGAGAUGAAUGUGAGCCAGCAGUGCCCUGGCAGCAGAGAUGACCAGCAGCCUUCUUGGAUGCAUUAGAAGGAGCAGAGCCACUAGAUGAAGGACUCACAGCAGUGCAUGGAAAGAGGAUGAUAAACAGUAGGUGUAAGGUGGAACACAGCAAAUUCAGCCUGAACACACAGAUGAACAUUUUGCCUGUGAAACAGCUGCCAAAAGAGGACAUGCAGUCUACAUCUUUAUGGGCUCUCAAAAGUGGGUAAGGCAACUACUCAGCUCUCACAGCAACCCUGCCUCACCACUGGUUUGGAUGAGAAACAAGCUGGAGUGCCUUCAAGCCUGAAUUUCCCUGGUUUUAAGACUGUAUUAUACUGACAAGAUCUUGGUUUGCUGUGCUUUUGGAAAAACAGCAGUGUAGGUUUAUUCAACAAAGUAUGUGGCCUAUUCAACACGUUUACUUAAAUACAAUGAGGCCCAUAAUUAAGAGCUCACAUUUUCAGCCCCUCCCCUCAGCACAGUAACUCUGAGGCAGUAACCUCCUGAGGCAUCCCAUGAAACCUAUUCUUGGAAGCUUAAGAGUACCCUCUGCUGGCUUAACACUGAAGUUGUGAAAAUCUGCAGCACAAUAUACUGAAAUGGCGUGGCAGAGAGAAACUCCUUUUCGAGCAGCACAGCUGUGCAUCUCUGCACGGGACAAACAGCUGUGCUGUGGCAUUUAUCACCACAAAGGGAAUGCCUGAAGCAACAUUGCACCGCAGGCCACCGCAGAGCUCUUUCCCAAACAACUGGAGUUCCAGAGAUGUCCCAUUAGAAUGACUGUCUUGUCAAAUAGCCUGUAAAGCACCAUCUGUGUGAAGUGCUUUAGCCUAAACCAAAACUUAUUCUAGGGACACUCUGUUUGUUUUGAACAUGAACAGUGUGCAAUCAAUUGAUAACAGAACUAUGUUCCAAAAGACAAAACAGCUCGUGUCUUAAUGACUCAUCUUUUCUCCCUUGCAAGCUCUUGGGAAGAGUUUACCCAGCUUCUACAGCUCACACUGCAAUAAAAUUUCUUGCUGCAGAAGUUGACAUCAGAGGAAGUCUAAUUUCACGUUAUAAUUCCCUAAGAAGGAAUAUAAUUUGAACUUGGACAUUGAUGGAUUAUCACAAUGCCUGCCUUUCUGCUACAAAAUGAACAGAAACACAGAUCUGAUGAAGUGGUCUCUUUAGGUACUGAAAGGCUCUGGAGCCUUCUCUUGUUAAGAAUGGACAAUGCCAGCUCUCUCAGCCCGUCCUCAUAGGGGAGGUGACCCUCUUGAUCAAGAUUUUCACAGCUGUCCUCUGGACCCACUCAGGCAGGUCCACGCCUGCUUUUGUUGGAGGCCCCAGAGCUGGAAGGUCUCACAAAAGCCAAGUGGAAAUAACCAGAAAUCUCUUGUUUUGCUCAUAUAAUGGGUCUAAAGCCUCACCCUGUGCCCAGUGAGGAUCAGACCACACUGUACCAAAUACCUAUCAGGCAUUUUCUAAGCAUUACCUCUGGCAUUAGUUAAGGAUUCUAGACAGUACAAUACAACAGAAGAUUG